rnacentral:rRNA from 1 species
ACAGCAGUCGCCGCGGUAAUACAGAGGGUGCAAGCGUUAAUCGGAAUUACUGGGCGUAAAGCGCGCGUAGGUGGUUUGUUAAGUUGGAUGUGAAAGCCCCGGGCUCAACCUGGGAACUGCAUCCAAAACUGGCAAGCUAGAGUACGGUAGAGGGUGGUGGAAUUUCCUGUGUAGCGGUGAAAUGCGUAGAUAUAGGAAGGAACACCAGUGGCGAAGGCGACCACCUGGACUGAUACUGACACUGAGGUGCGAAAGCGUGGGGAGCAAACAGGAUUAGAUACCCCGGUAGUCCUGUCUCUUAUACA